UCUCUCGAUCUGAGACUAACCCUACCUCAUCGGCCGCCAUCUCUAUCGCGCGCUCUCUCUGUCUCUCUGUCUCUCUCUCUCAACUCGUCUCUAUCGCGACUCACUCACGAAACCCUACACUAUUUCUCUCCCGAUCUGAGACUAACCCUACCUCAUCGGCCGCCAUCUCUAUCGCUCGCUCUCUCUGUCUCUCUGUCUCUCUCUCAACUCGUCUCUAUCGCGCUCUCUCUCUCUCUCUCUCUUAGUCACAUCUUUAAGUCUCUUAGAGACGCGAGACUCAUUCUCUUUCUCCAAACCUAACCAAACAUCAAUCCAAUAUCAUUGGUUUUUGGAGCGAAUCCUUGUAAAUUUUGGAGGGCUCUGGUUCAUUCUAAGGUAAUUUGUAUGUAUUUGGUUUGGAUUCUUAGUUGUUUUCAUUUUCCCUAAUUUAGUAGAUUAUUAGGGUUUCGAAAUUUUGGUAUUCUGUUGAAAUUAACGCAAUUUUUUCUUAAUUUUGCAGUUGUUGUGCUUAGUCUCUGUGGGUUUGGAUUAAUAGGCAAAAUUGAAGGUAUAAAUAUUUCUGUCUCAAUCUCUGUGCGUGGCUUAAAAGGAAUGGGAGAAUUAGAAUUAUAUAUUUUUAAAUCAUCAGCUCCACAUGGCUUUACUUUAGAUGUAUGGAUUUUUGGUAUUUUCUUUCUUUAUGUGAAUAUGAUCUGACCUUCAAUUUUAAUCUUCCUGUGUUCUGUUUGUUCUGCAGAUUGUUGCGUUGCAGCUUUCUGGUAAGCACUCUUAUACUAUGACAUUUUCAUGUCAAUGAUUUCAUUGUAUACUCUGUUCAAUUUUUCUGUACUCAAUGUUGUGAAUUAUCUAAUUUGUUCUUUGUAACAUGAUCACAGUGGUCCGAAUUGCCCCG
rnacentral:lncRNA from 1 species